GCCUCGUCUCUCUCUCAAUUAUUAUAUAAUAUGAUAGGUGAAUGCAAAGUGCGCCUCGUCUCUCUCUCCCUCUUGCGGAUUCCAACUGAACACUACUCUUUUCACUCUCGCUCUCUCUCCCUCAUCUCCUCUCAACCGAAUCUCCCUCUACUUCCCUCCAUGGCGACCUUACUUAGAAUCUGGCUAUAUCGCCCUCCCGAUACGCCGCGCUUAUCGCCAACACGUUCCCCCCAACACUUCCCAAACCCUACCCUCCUCUGCUCUCUCUCCUUCCCCUCCUCUACCAAUCCUUCCCCAUCCUCAAGUUAGCAAUCGCGAGGCGAAGAUCGAGCCGCGCCGUCGCCACUGCCGCCGCGGCUAGUUCCGACCCCGUGAUGGAUGCGAAGCCCAUGCAGGGCGAGAGGAUGCUGAUAUAUCUGUUAUUGUAAUGUUGUUUUAUGUUGUUUUAACUGAUUAAUUUGUUCUUCUUAUGUUGGUUUGAUUUGUGUGGCUUAGGUUAUGGUUCCGCCACAUCUGUUGAUCAAGCAUUGGAUCUCUGUUCUCAGGAACGAGCAAACUUCCUAUGUGAUUUUCAAGAGUGCCAUGGCAGAGCUUGGGAGACUACUCAUCUAUGAAGCUUCGAAGGACUGGCUAGUGAGUUAAAUUUCAGUCAGUAGCCACCAAUUCUUUACUAGCUAUUUGACAUUAUUUCCAAGCAUAUCUCUUUUGUUUUACUUGGUCUAAGACCAAUUUUAAAACUAACUGGCACAUUUGGAGAUGCCAUUGUAGCUUUCCAUUGCCGAAAAGCUACAAUUCCUUUGGAAAACGAACUAAUUCAUGAUAAUACUCUUUAUUUUCAAUUUAUCUAGACGUCUACUGGUUCAAUUUCAUUCACUGUUUUAUUCUGGCUUAUCACAUCUUAUCUAAAAUUUGACAACUAAAUUGUUCAGUGUACUUCCAAGGUGUUACAAUAAUGGUUACAUACAUCGAACAACUAAAUUGCCAAUAAAGCCCCGUAUUAUUUAAUUAUAAAAUUAAGUUUUUUUACAGUUUGCAUUUUGGCAAGAAAUCUAGUUAAGAUAAAACAUAUACAUUUAUGUUAUUCUAUACUUGUAAAACGAGAAAUAAAGUUGGCUUGAUUUUGGCAUAGUAUGACUUGCUCAUACAAGAAACAUGUUACAUAAUUUAGUGCCUGAUUUUGGCAUAGUAUGACUUGCUCAUACAAGAAACGUGUUCCAUACUUCAGUGCUUUCACAUUCCUCAUGUCAUUUUUCAUAGAUUUAUCAAUAAAUAAACCAAAUAUCCUAUCUAAAUUGGCAUAACAUUUGGAAGAUUAAAAGAAAAGAAAAACCAUAUUCUGCUGCCAUCUGAUUAAUAUUGGUUAAUUAGUUAGAACAAACCUAGUACUAUGUUUCCUUGGUUAUCCAAGUUAGAACUUCUACAUCUACAUCUACUAAGCUAACUUAAGUUUUCUUGUGAGUGCAUGCACGCGUGCGUAGGGAUGAUAUACUUCAUUCACUUCAACAACACUAUAAGGAAACAAAAACAUCAAUUCAUACCAAGAGAAAAAAAAAAGAAAAAAAAGAAUAUCUGUGAUCUUUCAUAUCAUCUUCAUAUCACCUCCUCAGCUGAGACCAGUUGAAAAAAGCAAAAAAAGGUCUAAGAAUAGCUUUCUGUAUCAAUUCGGAAUGACAAAUAGUAAGAACACUUUCCUGUAACAAUAGACCUUUUAGGAAUUUCUAAACCAAGAAAAAUUGAAAAAAAAAAGAUAAUUAAAAAAAUUAAAAAUAAAAUGUAAAAAAAAUGAAAUUUACUGUGGCUCUCCCUGUAGCAGCAAUAUGGAAGG